ACCUCCAGCUAAGGUCCCCAAGUCAUGGCUAAGUGGGAAAGGAUGUGAGGAUCCCAAAACAACCAGGAUGUUGGCUUAGAAGCAGCCAUCAUUUAAAGAAAGCGUAACAGCUCACUGGUCUAAAUAAGGGUCUUUGCGCCGAAAAUGUAACGGGGCUAAAGCCAUGCACCGAAGCUGAGGAUACAACGUAAGUUGUGUGGUAGCGGAGCGUUCCGUAAGUCUGUGAAGGCGGACCCGUGAGGGCUGCUGGAGAUAUCGGAAGUGCGAAUGUUGACAUGAGUAACGAUAAAGGGAGUGAGAGACUCCCUCGCCGAAAGACCAAGGGUUCCUGCUUAAAGUUAAUCUGAGCAGGGUUAGCCGGCCCCUAAGACGAGGCGGACACGCGUAGUCGAUGGGAACCACGUUAAUAUUCGUGGGCCUGGUGGUAGUGACGGAUCUUGUGUGUUGUUCAACCUUAUUGGAUUGGUUGGGCGGCGAAGAGGUUCCAGGAAAUAGCUCCACCGUAUAGACCGUACCCGAAACCGACACAGGUGGUCAGGUAGAGUAUACCAAGGCGCUUGAGAGAACUAUGUUGAAGGAACUCGGCAAAUUGCACGCGUAACUUCGGAAGAAGCGUGACCCUUUUGCACGCAAGUGUGAUGGGGUGGCACAGACCAGGGGGUAGCGACUGUUUAUCAAAAACACAGGGCUCUGCGAAGUAGCAAUACGACGUAUAGGGUCUGACGCCUGCCCGGUGCUGGAAGGUUAAAGGGAGGGGUGCAAGCUCUGAACUGAAGCCCCAGUAAACGGCGGCCGUAACUAUAACGGUCCUAAGGUAGCGAAAUUCCUUGUCGGGUAAGUUCCGACCUGCACGAAUGGCGUAACGACUUCCCCGCUGUCUCCAACAUAGACUCAGUGAAAUUGAAUUCCCCGUGAAGAUGCGGGGUUCCUGCGGUCAGACGGAAAGACCCCGUGCACCUUUACUAUAGCUUUACACUGGCAUUCGCCAAGGCAUGUGUAGGAUAGGUGGUAGGCUUUGAAGCAGGGACGCCAGUUCCUGUGGAGCCAUCCUU
rnacentral:rRNA from 1 species